UGGGGGGCUAUGAAUUGUAUUGAUUUUGAGGUAUUUAUGUUUAUGCAAUUUCUUCUUCAUAAUUGUCGAUAGUUGGAAAAUGACUUUUUUCUUGCUCUAGAUUCUGUGAUGCUGUUAUAAUCUGCGUAGUUGUUGUUAAUUCUUUUUAUUUCCUUGUGUUUGUGUAAAUUUGUAAAUAGUCACAUUGUUUGUAUUGAAUUUUACUUCGUUAAAUUGAUAAUUUUUGCUAAUAGUGAUGUAUAGGCGUAAAGAUAUGAAUCUUGGAGAUGGCCUGUUCUUAAGAGUCUUGUCGUGAGGUGGCCACAAAGUAUCCUGGGAUCAACUAUAAGGAAAUAAUUGUGGGCAACUGCUGCAUGCAACUUGUUUCGAAGCCUGAUCAAUUUGAUGUCAUGGUGAAUAAAGGGCAACGGAGUUGGUCAUCUACAGACGGUGGCAGGCGAUGACGGCCAACGGUGGUGGUGGCAGGUGGCCGGCGGCGGGAGUCCGGCGGUGGUGGCCGGCGGCGGUGGCCGGCGGCAGGAUUCCGGCAGUGGUGGCCGGCGGCGAGAUAUGAUUGGCUAGAUAUGGACAUGUGGCAUAGUAUGCUUGCCUUAGAAGGAGUGGCAUUGUGUGUAAUUUUGAUAUGUUUUAAUGAUAUUUUUGUAAAAUUAGGUACCACAAUUUGGUCUUUUGCCUUAUGCUAAUUAGAUGAAAUUGUAUUACUAUCUUCCAAAUUAGUAAACUAUAUUGUGUUUUAAAACUAAAGCUCCCU